rnacentral:rRNA from 1 species
CCUACGGGUGGCAGCAGUGAGGAAUAUUGGUCAAUGGGCGGAAGCCUGAACCAGCCAAGUAGCGUGCAGGAUGACGGCCCUACGGGUUGUAAACUUCUUUUAUAUGGGAAUAAAAUGUUCCACGUGUGGGAUUUUGUAUGUACCAUAUGAAUAAGGAUCGGCUAACUCCGUGCCAGCAGCCGCGGUAAUACGGAGGAUCCGAGCGUUAUCCGGAUUUAUUGGGUUUAAAGGGAGCGUAGGUGGAUUGUUAAGUCAGUUGUGAAAGUUUGCGGCUCAACCGUAAAAUUGCAGUUGAAACUGGCAGUCUUGAGUACAGUAGAGGUGUGCGGAAUUCGUGGUGUAGCGGUGAAAUGCUUAGAUAUCACGAAGAACUCCGAUUGCGAAGGCAGCUCACUGGACUGCAACUGACACUGAGGCUCGAAAGUGUGGGUAUCAAACAGGAUUAGAUACCCGGGUAGUC